rnacentral:rRNA from 1 species
GAUAAAGUCGUAACAAGGUUUCCGUAGGUGAACCUGCGGAAGGAUCAUUAUUGAAAUAAGCCUGAUAAGUUGCUGCUGGUUCUCUAGGGAGCAUGUGCACACUUGUCAUCUUUAUAUCUUCACCUGUGCAYCUUUUGUAGACCUGAGCAUCUCUCUGAAUGCUUUUUAGCACUCAGGAUUGAGGAUUGACUUUCUGUCUUUUCUCACAUUUUCAGGUCUAUGUUUUUCAUAAUACCCCAAAGUAUGUUUAUAGAAUGUAAUUAAUGGGCCUUUGUGCCUAUAAACCUAUACAACUUUCAGCAACGGAUCUCUUGGCUCUCGCAUCGAUGAAGAACGCAGCGAAAUGCGAUAAGUAAUGUGAAUUGCAGAAUUCAGUGAAUCAUCGAAUCUUUGAACGCACCUUGCGCUCCUUGGUAUUCCGAGGAGCAUGCCUGUUUGAGUGUCAUUAAUAUAURUAUCAACCUUCUUUGGUUGGAUGUGGGUUUGCUGGACUCUGUAGAUCAGCUCCCCUUAAAUGCAUUAGCAGACAACAUAUUGCCAACUGUUCAUUGGUGUGAUAAUUAUCUACGCUAUUGACAUGCAGCAAUGUUCAGCUUCUUAACAGUCCAUUGACUUGGACAAAUAAUUUUUUUAUUAUUAAUGGACCUCAAAUCAGGAGGACUACCCGCUGACUA